CAGCAGCCGCGGUAAUACAGAGGGUGCGAGCGUUAAUCGGAUUUACUGGGCGUAAAGCGUGCGUAGGCGGCUUCUUAAGUCGGAUGUGAAAUCCCUGAGCUUAACUUAGGAAUUGCAUUCGAUACUGGGAAGCUAGAGUAUGGGAGAGGAUGGUAGAAUUCCAGGUGUAGCGGUGAAAUGCGUAGAGAUCUGGAGGAAUACCGAUGGCGAAGGCAGCCAUCUGGCCUAAUACUGACGCUGAGGUACGAAAGCAUGGGGAGCAAACAGGAUCAGAUACCCGUGUAGUCCCUGUCUCUUAUAC
rnacentral:rRNA from 1 species